rnacentral:rRNA from 1 species
UUCCGGUUGAUCCUGCCGGACCCGACUGCUAUCAGAGUGGGACUAAGCCAUGCGAGUCAACGCCGCAAGGCGUGGCAUACGGCUCAGUAACACGUAGUCAACAUGCCCAGGGGACGUGGAUAACCUCGGGAAACUGAGGAUAAACCGCGAUAGGCCAAGGUUUCUGGAAUGGACACUGGCUGAAACCUAUAUGGCCCCUGGAUUGGACUGCGGCCGAUCAGGCUGUUGGUGAGGUAAUGGCCCACCAAACCUGUAACCGGUACGGGCUUUGAGAGAAGGAGCCCGGAGAUGGGCACUGAGACAAGGGCCCAGGCCCUAUGGGGCGCAGCAGGCGCGAAACCUCUGCAAUAGGCGAAAGCUUGACAGGGUUACUCUGAGUGAUGUCCGCUAAGGGCAUCUUUUGGCACCUCUAAAAAUGGUGCAGAAUAAGGGGUGGGCAAGUCUGGUGUCAGCCGCCGCGGUAAUACCAGCACCCCGAGUGGUCGGGACGAUUAUUGGGCCUAAAGCAUCCGUAGCUUGUUCUGCAAGUCCUCCGUUAAAUCCACCUGCUUAACAGAUGGGCUGCGGAAGAUACUAUAGAGCUAGGAGGCGGGAGAGGCAAGCGGUACUCGAUGGGUAGGGGUAAAAUCCGUUGAUCCAUUGAAGACCACCAGUGGCGAAGGCGGCUUGCCAGAAUGCGCUCGACGGUGAGGGAUGAAAGCUGGGGGAGCAAACCGGAUUAGAUACCCGGGUAGUCCCAGCUGUAAACGAUGCAGACUCGGUGAUGGGUUGGCCUCGCGCCUGCCCAGUGCCGCAGGGAAGCCGUUAAGUCUGCCGCCUGGGGAGUACGGUCGCAAGACUGAAACUUAAAGGAAUUGGCGGGGGAGCA